rfam:Gossypium raimondii Chr01_contig_25, whole genome shotgun sequence.
AGCAAAUUUCAUCCAUUUCUUCUGUAAAAAAUCGGCUUGGUUGACAAAAAGAAAAAAACAGAUAGUUACAUGCAACGUGUGACGUGUACCUUAUGCUGAUAUACAAUGACCCAUUUUUAACAGUAAAAAUGGAUGAAAUUUUUGGCA